rnacentral:rRNA from 1 species
CGGGGUGAGUAACGCGUGGGUAACCUGCCUUGCACUGGGGGAUAACACUUAGAAAUAGGUGCUAAUACCGCAUAAGCGCACAGCUUCGCAUGAAGUGGUGUGAAAAACUCUGGUGGUAUACGAUGGUUCCGCGUCUGAUUAGCUUGUUGGUGGGGUAAUGGCUCACCAAGGCGACGAUCAGUAGCCGGCCUGAGAGGGUGAACGGCCACAUUGGGACUGAGACACGGCCCAAACUCCUACGGAAGGCAGCAG